GGGGACGUAGCUCAGUUGGGAGAGCGCCGCACUCGCACUGCGGAGGUCGCGGAUUCGAAUUCCGCCGUUUCCACAA
rnacentral:tRNA from 1 species